AUGGAGAGUGAUCGAAGAACGUGGGCUCUGCGUUGGGAAUCUGAUCGUGACUUCAAAAUAUUACGAUUCAUAUUGUGGAGAGCAGGAACUCCAGUAUUGUUGAACAAACUGAAUGAAGAUGGUCAUUUGCAAAAAGUGUCCGAUGGGCAUGUCGUUGAUUGUACUGCUGGAAUCGUGAAAGUAUGCGCUUACGACGAUAAAAAUGUGGAUUUCUCAACACUCAAUUACAUUCUCACUCCAUCAACAAACAGCGGAGCUCUAAAAUUUCUUCAAAGUGUAAUUAAGAAUCCAUCAUCAUUAUCCAGUGAUAGUGUCCAUUUAGUCAAUCUCGCCUAUCGAUCAAUUCCAAUGCCCUCUAUUCAUGACAGAAAAAUUGGAAAUCUUCCGGAAACACUCAAUCCAAGUCAGGACCACCAGGAACUGGAAAAACUCGUGUGAUUGCUGAAAUUGUUCAUCAACUGAUGAAAAAGAAAAAGAAAGUUUUGGUUUGUGCCCCAACACACGUUGCUGUACGGAAUGCAAUGGAUGCAACCACGGGAAGAAUGAUUGAAGAAAUGCCUGAAGAGAAAGCCGAACAGCAACUGUGCCUCCUCGCAAACACGAAAGAUGAGUUUCAAAACCACAAAUCCGCUUCAAAGUUAGAAGAAAUCAAAAAGCAACUUUCAACAAUGAGUACAUCCGAUCCUCUCUAUAAAAAGAUGUCAUAUGAAUACUAUUUAAUUCGAAAUUCUAUUUUUCGAAGUAUCUUCUAUCCAAAACUUGCUGUUUUCUCAACAUUGGGAACAUCUUCAAUUCAAAAACUACCGGAGUAUCAUUGGAAUGCAGAUGUCAUGAUUGUUGAUGAAGCUGCACAAUGUACGGAACCUGCGACUUGGGUGCCAGUAUUAACCACACCAUCUUGUAAGAAACUCAUUCUUGUUGGAGAUCAGAAACAGUUGCCUGCCGUUGUUUUAUCAGACAAAGCGAUGAAAGGCAACUUCAAGCUUUCCCUGAUGGAGAAGCUUGCCGAAGAGUUUUCUUCUAAUAAUAUCAAUAUUCUACUCAAUGAGCAAUACCGCAUGAACAAAAAGAUUAUGAAUUGGUCGAACGAAGUAUUUUAUGAAAAUCAACUGACAGCACAUUCAACCGUUUCUGACAUCACUCUACGAGAUAUUUGUCCAAAUCUUCCGGAAGAUCACAUAGAUCCCACGAAGAAUUCGAAUCACAUUCAUUCACAAACACUGACGAAUUGAAUUUGGUAACAGAAUAUGUCAAUCGAUUGGUAGUUGACUUGGGAAUUAAUCCAAAGGCAAUCGCUGUAAUUUCACCGUAUUAUGCUCAGAUCGAAAAACUACGACGAUCUAUCCCCUUCCGAGUCGAUGUCAAUACAGUUGACGCAUUCCAAGGUCACGAACGUCAAGUGGUCAUUUUCUGUCUUGUCAGAGAUAAUGAUGAAGGCCAAAUUGGAUUCUUGAAUGAAACUCGCCGAUUGAAUGUUGCAGUUACUCGAGCAAGAAGACAAUUUGUUUUGAUUGGAAAUGGACGAAUGAUGAAAGGAAAUAAACAUCUUUUAAAACUCUACAAACACCUUCAAUCGGAAAAAGUCAUCUUCGGACCGUCAAUUCUCGAAACCUUCAACGAUCUUGAGGAAGCUGCUCUACCAAGAUCGGAUAAAUUUUGA
rnacentral:misc_RNA from 1 species